rnacentral:rRNA from 1 species
UAGGGAAUCUUCGGCAAUGGACGAAAGUCUGACCGAGCAACGCCGCGUGAGUGAAGAAGGUUUUCGGAUCGUAAAACUCUGUUGUUAGAGAAGAACAAGGACGUUAGUAACUGAACGUCCCCUGAAGGUAUCUAACCAGAAAGCCACGGCUAACUACGUGCCAGCAGCCGCGGUAAUACGUAGGUGGCAAGCGUUGUCCGGAUUUAUUGGGCGUAAAGCGAGCGCAGGCGGUUUCUUAAGUCUGAUGUGAAAGCCCCCGGCUCAACCGGGGAGGGUCAUUGGAAACUGGGAGACUUGAGUGCAAAAGAGGAGAGUGGAAUUCCAUGUGUAGCGGUGAAAUGCGUAGAUAUAUGGAGGAACACCAGUGGCGAAGGCGGCUCUCUGGUCUGUAACUGACGCUGAGGCUCGAAAGCGUGGGGAGCAAACAGG